rnacentral:lncRNA from 1 species
AGACUUCCCAAAGAAGGUGAUGCCGAAGCUGAGGUCGGAAAUUACGAAGAUCAGCUAUGUAAGUUAAAGGGUGAGGGGAAAGGGAGCCCAAUGAGAGGGAGAGAGGGAAAAAACAGGGAGCGUGCACGUGCACGUGAGAGAGACAGAGACAGAGAGAGAGAAUAUAUGAGAAAGUGAAGAAGAGAAAAUGGGAGAGGGAGAGAAAACAUACAAUUAUGUAUGUCUGGAGCACACCAUAUUAAAGGAGGGAGUGGCAGAAAACGUGAGGUGGGAAUCAAAUCAUGCUGGGCUUUUUGGCCAGGCUCCUCAUGCAAGAAGCCAGGUGUCAUG